UACGUAGGGUGCGAGCGUUGUCCGGAUUUAUUGGGCGUAAAGAGCGUGUAGGCGGCCAUUCAGGUCAGCUGUGAAAACUCGAGGCUCAACCUCGAGACGUCGGUUGAAACCGUUUGGCUAGAGUCCGGAAGAGGAGAGUGGAAUUCCCGGUGUAGCGGUGAAAUGCGCAGAUAUCGGGAAGAACACCCGUGGCGAAGGCGGCUCUCUGGGACGGUACUGACGCUGAGGCUCGAAAGCGUGGGGAGCAAACAGG
rnacentral:rRNA from 1 species